rnacentral:rRNA from 1 species
UACGUAGGUGACAAGCGUUGUCCGGAUUUACGGGGCGUAAAGAGCGCGCAGGCGGUCGAUCAAGUCGAGUGUGAAAGCCCCCGGCGCAACUGGGGAGGGUCAUUCGAUACUGAUCGACUCGAAGGCAGGAGAGGGUAGUGGAAUUCCCGGUGUAGUGGUGAAAUGCGUAGAUAUCGGGAGGAACACCAGUGGCGAAGGCGACUACCUGGCCUGUUCUUGACGCUGAGGCGCGAAAGCUAGGGGAGCAAACGGG